rnacentral:rRNA from 1 species
UACGGAGGGGGCUAGCGUUGUUCGGAAUUACUGGGCGUAAAGCGCGCGUAGGCGGACCAGUCAGUCAGGGGUGAAAUCCCGGGGCUCAACCCCGGAACUGCCUUUGAUACUGCUGGUCUUGAGUUCGACAGAGGUGAGUGGAAUUCCGAGUGUAGAGGUGAAAUUCGUAGAUAUUCGGAGGAACACCAGUGGCGAAGGCGGCUCACUGGCUCGAUACUGACGCUGAGGUGCGAAAGCGUGGGGAGCAAACAGAAUUAGAUACCCUAGUAGUCC